UGGGGGGGGGUAUGUCAAUUUUUG
rnacentral:piRNA from 1 species